CCUACGGGAGGCAGCAGUGGGGAAUUUUGGACAAUGGGCGCAAGCCUGAUCCAGCAAUGCCGCGUGAGUGAAGAAGGCCUUCGGGUUGUAAAGCUCUUUUGUCAGGGAAGAAACGGUGGAGGCUAAUAUCCUUUGCUAAUGACGGUACCUGAAGAAUAAGCACCGGCUAACUACGUGCCAGCAGCCGCGGUAAUACGUAGGGUGCAAGCGUUAAUCGGAAUUACUGGGCGUAAAGCGUGCGCAGGCGGUUUUGUAAGUUUGUCGUGAAAUCCCCGGGCUCAACCUGGGAAUGGCGAUGAAGACUGCAAGGCUAGAAUCUGGCAGAGGGGGGUAGAAUUCCACGUGUAGCAGUGAAAUGCGUAGAGAUGUGGAGGAACACCGAUGGCGAAGGCAGCCCCCUGGGUCAAGAUUGACGCUCAUGCACGAAAGCGUGGGGAGCAAACAGGAUUAGAUACCCUGGUAGUCCACGCCCUAAACGAUGUCUACUAGUUGUCGGGUUUUAAUUAACUUGGUAACGCAGCUAACGCGUGAAGUAGACCGCCUGGGGAUACGGUCGCAAGNUUAAAACUUAAGGAAUUGACGG
rnacentral:rRNA from 1 species